UCAAUUUGUGUCCGCUUCCUCUUCUCUGAGCUUUUCCCUCUCUCCCAUUUCUCCAAUCUCCGCAUCUUUUCGCUGGAUUUAGAAUCGAUGUGAACUUUGUAGUGAUUGGAAUCUCUUAGAUGAACUGCAUUUCGUGCGCGUCUUCUGCAGCUCUCUUUUCGAAUAGCGGGCAUGGACUUAUGAGGAGAGCUUUAUAUGGGAUUUCUAUGAUCUCAUGGAGGAGAAGAGAUAUAUGGCACGCCGGCAUUGAAGCGCUCAAUUUAGGUCUCAUCCCGUCGGCAGUUCGUGUCCGGUGCUUCUCUUCUAAGCGCGUGCGUGCUUCGAAGUCGCCGAAGGCGGCGAAUGAGAAAGCGGCUAUGGCUGAAGAGGGUGAUGCUUUUUAUGUUGUCCGGAAAGGAGAUGUUGUCGCCGUCUAUAAAAAUUUAACCGAUUGUCAAGCUCAAGUUAGCUCCUCGGUGUGUGAUCCUUCCGUCAGUGUGUACAAAGGUUAUUCUUUGCGUAAAGAAACGGAAGAUUAUCUUGCUGCUCGUGGGCUUAAAAACCCUCUCUACGCCAUUAAUGCAGCCGAUGUGAAUGAGGAUCUGUUUGGGAACCUAGUCCCAUGUCCUUUUCAGCAACCAGAUGGACUUGCAUUUUUGGUUGCUCAAACUGGCGAAAAGACUUCUACUUUGAAAAGGGCGCAGCACAUGGUGAGUAUGGAAUCUUCUUCUGCCCUGAUUGAACCGGCAAAGAAACAUCUCAAGCUUGGGUAUUCAGUUGAGCAGAAAACAAUAUUUCGUAAUGACGUGUCUUGUGUUCUUGAAUUUGAUGGUGCUUCAAAAGGAAAUCCUGGAAAAUCUGGCGCUGGAGUUAUUCUUCGAGCUGAAGAUGGAAGUGUGAUUUGUAGAGUCCGCGAAGGUUUGGGUGCUGUAACAAAUAAUGUUGCCGAAUAUCGAGCAUUGAUUUUAGGAAUGAAGUAUGCUCUAAAGAAAGGGUUUCAGAAAAUACGUGUGCAAGGUGACUCUAAGCUUGUUUGUAAUCAGACAGGUUCAAGAUCUCUGGCGGGCCAGGCACGAGAACAUGGCUGGCUUGUGCAAGGAGGCGAAGGAGCUCAAGGAUAUGUUUCUGUCAUUUGAGAUCAGACAUGUUAAGAGGGAGUUUAAUGCGGAUGCCGAUGCUCAGGCGAACCUAGCCGUCGAUCUCCCGACCGGAGAAAUUCACGAGGAAUCCGGUCUGCGCUUCUCUGAUUCUGGUGCUUAAAAGGAGCUCUCGCCGAGUUUUACUACGAGAGAAAUAAUAGAAAGGGAUUGCUACGAAAGGAAGCAAUCGAUCGCUUCGACUCCAAACUUUUUCUUGUCUUUUUGCCUGAUAAUUUUACAACAAUUGAUUGCACCAUUUUUGUACCAAAUUUUUUGGAGGAGGUUGCUAGAUCAUUGAGAAGCUUGAUGAGUUAAUAGGUUGGCAAAGGGUGUUCACUUAUUAAUUGAUUACUCUUUGUUGUACUAAUUUUUUACAAUUUUGAACAUAGGCCUUGAAGAUGUAUGAACUGUGAUGCUGUACUUAAAAUAGUGCAACAAUACAUCUUUUACAAGUUGUUUCCCCUUUUUUUGA